UACGUAGGUGGCAAGCGCUGUCCGGAUUUACUGGGCGUAAAGAGCGCGCAGGCGGUCGUGCAAGUCGCGUGUGAAAGCCCCCGGCUCAACUGGGGAGGGUCACGCGAUACUGCUCGACUUGAAGGCAGGAGAGGGAAGUGGAAUUCCCGGUGUAGUGGUGAAAUGCGUAGAUAUCGGGAGGAACACCAGUGGCGAAGGCGACUUCCUGGCCUGUUCUUGACGCUGAGGCGCGAAAGCUAGGGUAGCAAACGGG
rnacentral:rRNA from 1 species